GCCCAUUUAAAUACAAAGAACUCGCCUGAUCCCAUCUAAUCUCAGAAGCUAAGCAGGGUUGGGCCUGGUUAGUACUUGGAUGGGAGACCACUUAAGAAGACCAGGUGCUGUAGGCG
rnacentral:rRNA from 1 species